rnacentral:rRNA from 1 species
AUUGAACGCUGGCGGCAGGCUUAACACAUGCAAGUCGAGCGAGCGGCGGACGGGUGAGUAAUGUCUGGGAAACUGCCUGAUGGAGGGGGAUAACUACUGGAAACGGUAGCUAAUACCGCAUACCAUCAGAUGUGCCCAGAUGGGAUUAGCUAGUAGGUUGGGUAAUGGCUCACCUAGGCGACGAUCCCUAGCUGGUCUGAGAGGAUGACCAGCCAAACUGGAACUGAUGCACGGUCCAGACGCCUACGGGGGGCAGCAGGGGGGAAUAUUGCACAAGGGGCGCAAGCCUGAUGCAGCCAUGCCGCGUGUAUGAAGAAGGCCUUCGGGUUGUAAAGUACGUUCAGCGGGGAGGCGUUACUCGCAGAAGAAGCACCGGCUAACUCCGUGCCAGCAGCCGCGGUAAUAC